AUCUAUCCAUGGCCAGGGUGAAGGUUCGGUAACACGAACUGGAGGCCCGAACCCACCGUCUUUGAAAAGCCGGGGGAUGAGCUGUGGAUAGGGGUGAAAGGCUAAUCAAACUCGGUGAUAGCUGGUUCUCCCCGAAAGCUAUUUAGGUAGCGCCUCGGACGAAUACCCACGGGGGUAGAGCACUGUUUCGGCUAGCGGGUCAUCUCGACUUAGCAACCCGAUGCAAACUCCGAAUACCGUGGAGUACUAUCCGGGAGACAGACGGUGGGUGCUAAUGUCCAUCGUCAAGAGGGAAACAACCCAGACCGCCAGCUAAGGUCCCCAAAUUACAGUUAAGUGGGAAACGAUGUGGGAAGGCAUAGACAGCUAGGAGGUUGGCUUAGAAGCAGCCACCCUUUAAAGAAAGCGUAAUAGCUCACUAGUCGAGUCGGCCUGCGCGGAAGAUGUAACGGGGCUAAAACUGUAUACCGAAGCUGCGGAUGCGCAUUCAUGCGCGUGGUAGGGGAGCGUUCUGUAAGUCUGCGAAGGUGUGUUGAGAAGCAUGCUGGAGAUAUCAGAAGUGCGAAUGCUGACGUGAGUAACGAUAAGGGGUGUGAAAAACGCCCCCGCCGGAAGACCAAGGGUUCCAGUUCAACGUUAAUCGGGGCUGGGUGAGUCGACCCCUAAGGCGAGGCCGAAAGGCGUAGUCGAUGGAAAACAGGUUAAUAUUCCUGUACCUCUUUACAUUGCGAUGGGGGGACGGAGAAGGCUAGGUGUACCAGCGAUCGGUAGUGCUGGGGAAAGGAUGUAGGCAGGACCCUUAGGCAAAUCCGGGGGUUCAAUGUCGAGACCCGAGACCAUCCGUACUUGUACGGAGAAGUCACUGAUGCCAUGCUUCCAAGAAAAGCCUCUAAGCUUCAGAUGUAAAGGGAUCGUACCCGAAACCGACACAGGUGGUCAGGUCGAGAAGACCAAGGCGCUUGAGGGAACUCUGGUGAAGGAACUAGGCAAAAUAGUACCGUAACUUCGGGAGAAGGUACGCUGUUGACGGUUAAGUAUUUACUACAUAAGCCGUUGGCAGCCUCAGUAACCAGGCCGCUGCAACUGUUUAUUAAAAACACAGCACUCUGCAAACACGAAAGUGGACGUAUAGGGUGUGAUGCCUGCCCGGUGCCGGAAGGUUAAUUGAUGGGGUUAGCGAAAGCGAAGCUCUUGAUCGAAGCCCCGGUAAACGGCGGCCGUAACAAUAACGGUCCUAAGGUAGCGAAAUUCCUUGUCGGGUAAGUUCCGACCUGCACGAAUGGCAUAAUGAUGGCGGCGCUGUCUCCACCAGAGACUCAGUGAAAUCGAAAUCGCGGUGAAGAUGCCGUGUACCCGUGGCUAGACGGAAAGACCCCGUGAACCUUUACUGCAGCUUUGCACUGGACUUUGACCUUACUUGUCUAU
rnacentral:rRNA from 1 species